UAGUCCAUCCAUGAUAAACUUCCAUUUAGGGUUGUGCGUGGCUUGAGAUUAUGUUAUUGUUUUAAGUUACGUUCAUUUCUGCCAUGAUGCCGUCAGGCUGAACAAAAACUUUUCAAUAGCAGCCAUUUUAUCUUUUCCUAACAUGUUUCCUCAGGGACAACCUGUGGAAACUCGAAGAAGAAGGGAAACACCUUGGUCAUUGAGACUGAGAAGAGCUACAUCAAC